rnacentral:rRNA from 3 species
UCCUACGGGAGGCAGCAGUGGGGAAUAUUGGACAAUGGGCGAAAGCCUGAUCCAGCCAUGCCGCGUGUGUGAAGAAGGUCUUCGGAUUGUAAAGCACUUUAAGUUGGGAGGAAGGGCAGUAAGUUAAUACCGGCUGUUUGACGUACCGACAGAAUAGCCGACGCCCCCC